GGUGAAGAACGUAGCGAAAUGCGAUAAGUAAUGUGAAUUGCAGAAUUCAGUGAAUCAUCGAAUCUUUGAACGCACAUUGCGCCCGCCAGCACUCUGGCGGGCAUGCCUGUUCGAGCGUCAUUUCAACCAUCAAGCCCCCAGGGGCUUGUGCUGGGGCCCUGCGGCUGCCCGCAGGCCCUGAAAACCAGUGGCGGGCUCGCUAGUCACACCGAGCGCAGUAGCACAUCUCGCUCAGGGCGUGCGGCGGGCUCCUGCCGUGAAACCCCCCACUGUAACCCCAAAGGUUGACCUCGGAUCAGGUAGGAAUACCCGCUGAACUUAAGCAUAUCAAUAAGCGGAGGA
rnacentral:misc_RNA from 1 species